AUUGAACGCUGGCGGAAUGCUUUACACAUGCCAGUCGAGCGGCAGCGCGGCCUUCGGGCUGGCGGCGAGCGGCGAACGGGUGAGUAAUGCAUCGGAACAUGCCCAGUCGUGGGGGAUAACACUUCGAAAGAAGUGCUAAUACCGCAUACGUCCUGAGGGGGAAAGCGGGGGAUCGCAAGACCUCGCGCGAUUGGAGUGGCCGAUGUCAGGUUAGCUAGUUGGUGGGGUAAAGGCCUACCAAGGCGACGAUCUGUAGCUGGUCUGAGAGGAUGAUCAGCCACACUGGGACUGAGACACGGCCCAGACUCCUACGGGAGGCAGCAGUGGGGAAUUUUGGACAAUGGGGGCAACCCUGAUCCAGCCAUUCCGCGUGAGUGAAGAAGGCCUUCGGGUUGUAAAGCUCUUUCGGCAGGAACGAAACGGUGGGCUCUAACAUAGUCCGCUAAUGACGGUACCUGAAGAAGAAGCACCGGCUAACUACGUG
rnacentral:rRNA from 1 species